rnacentral:tRNA from 1 species
GUGGGGAUAUAGCUCACUCUGUAGAGUGCUUGCCUCACAUGCACAAGGCCCUGGGUUCAAUCCCUAGCACCACA